UCAAACUUGGUCAUUUAGAGGAAGUAAAAGUCGUAACAAGGUUUCCGUAGGUGAACCUGCGGAAGGAUCAUUACUGGGGUUUUUGCCUCCCUCUCCGGGGGGUGGCAAUUCUAACCACCAAUAAUUCACCAUGUGCACUCAUUCGGAUUAUGGAAUAAUAUUCCAUAGUCCACAAUCUUUCUACGUCUUAUUACAUGUCUGAUAUAUUAUUUUUGAUAAUACAACUUUCAACAACGGAUCUCUUGGCUCUCGCAUCGAUGAAGAACGCAGC
rnacentral:misc_RNA from 1 species